rnacentral:rRNA from 1 species
ACUCCUACGGGAGGCAGCAGUGGGGAAUAUUGCACAAUGGGCGCAAGCCUGAUGCAGCGACGCCGCGUGGGGGAUGAAGGCCUUCGGGUUGUAAACUCCUUUCGCUAGGGACGAAGCUUUUUUGUGACGGUACCUAGAUAAGAAGCACCGGCUAACUACGUGCCAGCAGCCGCGGUAAUACGUAGGGUGCGAGCGUUGUCCGGAAUUACUGGGCGUAAAGGGCUCGUAGGUGGUUUGUCGCGUCGUCUGUGAAAUUCUGGGGCUUAACUCCGGGCGUGCAGGCGAUACGGGCAUAACUUGAGUGCUGUAGGGGUAACUGGAAUUCCUGGUGUAGCGGUGAAAUGCGCAGAUAUCAGGAGGAACACCGAUGGCGAAGGCAGGUUACUGGGCAGUUACUGACGCUGAGGAGCGAAAGCAUGGGUAGCGAACAGGAUUAGAAACCCUUGUAGUCCCAUGAU